UGGGAUGUAGCUCAGUGGCAAAGCGCUUGCCUAGCAAGCACAAUGUCCUGGGUUCGAUCCCCAGUACCAA
rnacentral:tRNA from 1 species